GACGAACGCUGGCGGCGUGCUUAACACAUGCAAGUCGAACGGGCCUGUCUUCUUUUUUGGGGGGUGGGUUGAGUGGCGAACGGGUGAGUAUCACGUGAGUAACCUGCCCUUCGGUCCUGGAUAACCGCUUGAAAGGGCGGCUAAUACGGGGUGGUCCGGUUGGUCCGCAUGGGCUGGUCGGGAUAGAUUCACUGUUUUUGGUGUUUCGGCGGGGGGUGGGCUCGCGGCCUAUCAGCUUGUUGGUGGGGUGAUGGCCUACCAAGGCGGUGACGGGUAGCCGGCCUGAGCGGGUGGGCGGCCACACUGGGACUGAGAUACGGCCCAGACUCCUGCGGGAGGCAGCAGUGGGGGGUAUUGCACAAUGGGCGGAAGCCUGAUGCAGCGACGUCGCGUGAGGGAUGGAGGCCUUCGGGUUGUGAACCUCUGUUUCCGGUGGUGAAGGCCCUGUCCGUGUGGUGGGGUUGACGGUAGCCGGGGAUGAAGCGCCGGCUAACUACGUG
rnacentral:rRNA from 1 species